rnacentral:misc_RNA from 1 species
UAUACGAAAGAUGAACUGAUGGAAUGUUCAUUUUAAUUAGAGAUGACGAAAUAAAUUUAUAAGAUCCCUUAAACCAAAAACAAAAUUCCAGAAUGGUGAUCGAGGAGAGUACUACUCCAAGGAGGAAUCAGCACAAAAUCUCAGCUAUGUCUGGAAUUGUCUCUAAGCAAAUGAUUAUGAUCUGACACUUAAUCUGUUUAGCGUGCAGUUAUUUCACAGAUGAUGAGUAAAUAAAUAUAUAAUUAUAAUAAUCAUAGAUAUUAGCAGAAAAAUUUCCAAGAAUUAGAAGGAUUCGUAAGCGAUUUGUAUUUGCCUAUGUUUCUUGCUUUCAUUUUCAUUGCAUGUCUUGAGCCAGUAGAUAAUGUAAAAUUUCACCUUCUCUAUAGGCUUUUGCUAAGAAUUUCACACUUGGCGUGUUUGG